rnacentral:rRNA from 1 species
CCUACGGGUGGCAGCAGUGAGGAAUAUUGGUCAAUGGACGAGAGUCUGAACCAGCCAAGUCGCGUGAAGGAUGACUGCCCUAUGGGUUGUAAACUUCUUUUAUAUGGGAAUAAAAUGUUCCACGUGUGGGAUUUUGUAUGUACCAUAUGAAUAAGGAUCGGCUAAAUCCGUGCCAGCAGCCGGGGUAAUACGGAGGGUCCGAGCGUUAUCCGGAUUUAUUGGGUUUAAAGGGAGCGUAGGUGGGUUGUUAAGUCAGUUGUGAAAGUUUGCGGCUUAACCCUAAAAUUGCAGUUGAAACUGGCAGUCUUGAGUACAGUAGAGGUGGGCGGAAUUCGUGGUGUAGCGGUGAAAUGCGUAGAUAUCACGAAGAACUCCGAUUGCGAAGGCAGUUCACUGGACUGCAACUGACACUGAGGCUCGAAAGUGUGGGUAUCAAACAGGAUUAGAUACCCCUGUAGUC